AAUUGAUAUCGAUGUGUCUGAUUUCUGAAAGUGAUUUCAAUUUGUCCUCCUUUUCUCUAUAGAAGUAUCUUCUUGCAAAGAACUUGCCAGAAUCUUCUGCUAACAUUUCAAACCCGAAGAAAGUCUCUGAGUGAGCUUGUCUGGCCUGGAUUCUAAUUCCCCUAUAAUCACUGUAUCUUCUUACAGUCAUUGGCUUAUUUCUAAAGAUAUGGUUUAGAAGAUAUGAUGCUUAAGAGUAACAUUGAGUUAAACCAUUGUUUUCUCGGGGGACUGCAAUUUAAUGAAGCAUUGACAAUAAAAAUGGAGGUUCAAAAAUGUCUUCACGAGCAGCUUGAGGUGCAAAAACAGUUACAAAUGAGAAUUGAAACUCAGGGGAAAUACUUUCAGAAGAUCAUCGAGGAGCAGCAGAAACAAGGAGGCACACUAGAAGCCUG